GACGAACGCUGGCGGCAUGCCUAUACAUGCAAGUCGAGCGAACAGAUGAAGUGCUUGCACUUCUGACGUUAGCGGCGAACGGGUGAGUAACACGUAAGGAAUCUACCUAUAAGCGGGGGAUAACAUUCGGAAACGGGUGCUAAUACCGCAUAAUAUCUUCUUCCGCAUGGAAGAAGAUUGAAAGACGACUCUGCUGUCACUUAUAGAUGACCUUGCGGUGCAUUAGUUAGUUGGUGGGGUAACGGCCUACCAAGACGAUGAUGCAUAGCCGACCUGAGAGGGUGAUCGGCCACAUUGGGACUGAGACACGGCCCAAACUCCUACGGGAGGCAGCAGUAGGGAAUCUUCCGCAAUGGGCGAAAGCCUGACGGAGCAGUGCCGCGUGAGUGAAGAAGGCCUUCGGGUCGUAAAACUCUGUUAUAAGAGAAGAACAAAUUGUAGAGUAACUGCUACAGUCUUGACGGUAUCUUAUCAGAAAGCCACGGCUAACUACGUGCCAGCCGCCGCAGUAA
rnacentral:rRNA from 1 species